rnacentral:rRNA from 1 species
GGUUAAGCGACUAAGCGUACACGGUGGAUGCCCUGGCAGUCAGAGGCGAUGAAGGACGUGCUAAUCUGCGAAAAGCGUCGGUAAGGUGAUAUGAACCGUUAUAACCGGCGAUGUCCGAAUGGGGAAACCCAGUGUGAUUCGUCACACUAUCGUUAACUGAAUACAUAGGUUAACGAGGCGAACCGGGGGAACUGAAACAUCUAAGUACCCCGAGGAAAAGAAAUCAACCGAGAUUCCCCCAGUAGCGGCGAGCGAACGGGGAGCAGCCCAGAGUCUGAAUCAGCUUGUGUGUUAGUGGAACGGUCUGGAAAGUCCGACGGUACAGGGUGAUAGUCCCGUACACCAAAAUGCACAGGCUGUGAACUCGAAGAGUAGGGCGGGACACGUGGUAUCCUGUCUGAAUAUGGGGGGACCAUCCUCCAAGGCUAAAUACUCCUGACUGACCGAUAGUGAACCAGUACCGUGAGGGAAAGGCGAAAAGAACCCCGGCGAGGGGAGUGAAAAAGAACCUGAAACCGUGUACGUACAAGCAGUGGGAGCACCUUCGGGUGUGACUGCGUACCUUUUGUAUAAUGGGUCAGCGACUUAUAUUCUGUAGCAAGGUUAACCGUAUAGGGGAGCCGCAGGGAAACCGAGUCUUAACUGGGCGUUAAGUUGCAGGGUAUAGACCCGAAACCCGGUGAUCUAGCCAUGGGCAGGUUGAAGGUUGGGUAACACUAACUGGAGGACCGAACCGACUAAUGUUGAAAAAUUAGCGGAUGACUUGUGGCUGGGGGUGAAAGGCCAAUCAAACCGGGAGAUAGCUGGUUCUCCCCGAAAGCUAUUUAGGUAGCGCCUCGUGAACUCAUCUUCGGGGGUAGAGCACUGUUUCGGCUAGGGGGUCAUCCCGACUUACCAACCCGAUGCAAACUACGAAUACCGAAGAAUGUUAUCACGGGAGACACACGGCGGGUGCUAACGUCCGUCGUGAAGAGGGAAACAACCCAGACCGCCAGCUAAGGUCCCAAAGUCAUGGUUAAGUGGGAAACGAUGUGGGAAGGCACAGACAGCCAGGAUGUUGGCUUAGAAGCAGCCAUCAUUUAAAGAAAGCGUAAUAGCUCACUGGUCGAGUCGGCCUGCGCGGAAGAUGUAACGGGGCUAAACCAUGCACCGAAGCUGCGGCAGCGACACUAUGUGUUGUUGGGUAGGGGAGCGUUCUGUAAGCCUGCGAAGGUGACCUGUGAGGGUUGCUGGAGGUAUCAGAAGUGCGAAUGCUGACAUAAGUAACGAUAAAGCGGGUGAAAAGCCCGCUCGCCGGAAGACCAAGGGUUCCUGUCCAACGUUAAUCGGGGCAGGGUGAGUCGACCCCUAAGGCGAGGCCGAAAGGCGUAGUCGAUGGGAAACAGGUUAAUAUUCCUGUACUUGGUGUUACUGCGAAGGGGGGACGGAGAAGGCUAUGUUAGCCGGGCGACGGUUGUCCCGGUUUAAGCAUGUAGGCUGAUUGUCCAGGCAAAUCCGGAUAAUCAAGGCUGAGGUGUGAUGACGAGGCACUACGGUGCUGAAGUAACAAAUGCCCUGCUUCCAGGAAAAGCCUCUAAGCAUCAGGUAACAUCAAAUCGUACCCCAAACCGACACAGGUGGUCAGGUAGAGAAUACCAAGGCGCUUGAGAGAACUCGGGUGAAGGAACUAGGCAAAAUGGUGCCGUAACUUCGGGAGAAGGCACGCUGGUGUGUAGGUGAAGUCCCUGCGGAUGGAGCUGAGACCAGUCGAAGAUACCAGCUGGCUGCAACUGUUUAUUAAAAACACAGCACUGUGCAAACACGAAAGUGGACGUAUACGGUGUGACGCCUGCCCGGUGCCGGAAGGUUAAUUGAUGGGGUUAUCCGUAAGGAGAAGCUCUUGAUCGAAGCCCCGGUAAACGGCGGCCGUAACUAUAACGGUCCUAAGGUAGCGAAAUUCCUUGUCGGGUAAGUUCCGACCUGCACGAAUGGCGUAAUGAUGGCCAGGCUGUCUCCACCCGAGACUCAGUGAAAUUGAACUCGCUGUGAAGAUGCAGUGUACCCGCGGCAAGACGGAAAGACCCCGUGAACCUUUACUAUAGCUUGACACUGAACAUUGAGCCUUGAUGUGUAGGAUAGGUGGGAGGCUUUGAAGCGUGGACGCCAGUCUGCGUGGAGCCAACCUUGAAAUACCACCCUUUAAUGUUUGAUGUUCUAACGUUGGCCCCUGACCGGGGUUGCGGACAGUGUCUGGUGGGUAGUUUGACUGGGGCGGUCUCCUCCCAAAGCGUAACGGAGGAGCACGAAGGUUAGCUAAUCCUGGUCGGACAUCAGGAGGUUAGUGCAAUGGCAUAAGCUAGCUUGACUGCGAGCGUGACGGCGCGAGCAGGUGCGAAAGCAGGUCAUAGUGAUCCGGUGGUUCUGAAUGGAAGGGCCAUCGCUCAACGGAUAAAAGGUACUCCGGGGAUAACAGGCUGAUACCGCCCAAGAGUUCAUAUCGACGGCGGUGUUUGGCACCUCGAUGUCGGCUCAUCACAUCCUGGGGCUGAAGUAGGUCCCAAGGGUAUGGCUGUUCGCCAUUUAAAGUGGUACGCGAGCUGGGUUUAGAACGUCGUGAGACAGUUCGGUCCCUAUCUGCCGUGGGCGCUGGAGAAUUGAGGGGGGCUGCUCCUAGUACGAGAGGACCGGAGUGGACGCAUCACUGGUGUUCGGGUUGUCAUGCCAAUGGCACUGCCCGGUAGCUAAAUGCGGAAGAGAUAAGUGCUGAAAGCAUCUAAGCACGAAACUUGCCCCGAGAUGAGUUCUCCCUGAGACUUUAAGUCUCCUGAAGGAACGUUGAAGACGACGACGUUGAUAGGCCGGGUGUGUAAGCGCAGCGAUGCGUUGAGCUAACCGGUACUAAUGAACCGUGAGGCUUAACCUU